rnacentral:lncRNA from 1 species
GAAGAAUUCAUUUUUCUGAGAUGGAGAAAACCUUACCAAAGCUGUAUAGGGAAUGCCAAUGCUGAUUAUUCUCAUUUUUAAAAUAAGGAAACUUGGAGUCUGAAAGAGGAUAAUAGGCAAGAAAGGCAGAGGCAUAGAUGAGAGAAUAGCAAUAAACCAGGGAUGAAGGGAGCCCUGGUGACAAAAAGGACAUGGGAUUCUCUCUGUGGUCAAGAAGAUGGCAGUGAGAGGGGUAAAUUCACUCACUUACCCAUGGUCCUCUUUGGAGAGUGGAGUACCAAGGGUGACAAGCCUCAGCUGGCUGAGAUUGAGGUUUGUUUGGGCCCCAUUGUCACAGCAACAAGGGAAUGUUUGGUAACAGAGCCAGUGAUCUCACAGAAGCUGGUCAUAGCGACACCUUGUUGAAGCUCAGGGAAGAGCAGAGCCAUCCAGGAGAGAACUUGGAGGAAGAGGAAGACAAUAGUUUCCUUGGAAGAGCUCUCAGGGAAGAGCAGAGCCAGCCAGGAGAGAAUGUGGAGGCAGAGGAAGACAAUAGUUCCCUUGGAAGAGCUGUGACUACUAGAAAAGUACUGUCCUGGCUACCUGAUGGCUGUCCUUACAGGAGCUUGGCCUCUGGCCAAGCUCCAUCUUUAAUCUUUCUCUAUUCACCUCUCUGACCUGUGUGGUAUGGAUCUCUGGACUGGAAAAGCCUACGCAAUGGUCCUUUGAUCAGAGCUUAGCUGUGGCUCAUUGAUAAUUAAUAAAGACUCAUUCUGACCACCUCA